rnacentral:rRNA from 1 species
GUCUAAGGCCAUACCAUCCUCAAUGCACUUGAUCUCAUCUGGUCUUGAAAGCUAAGCAGGGUCGGGCCUGGUUAGUACCUGGAUGAAAGACA